ACGAACGCUGGCGGCGUGCUUAACACAUGCAAGUCGAACGGUGAAGGGACCAGCUUGCUGGUUCUGGAUGAGUGGCGAACGGGUGAGUAACACGUGAGUAACCUGCCCCCUUCUUCUGGAUAACCGCAUGAAAGUGUGGCUAAUACGGGAUAUUCUGGGUCUGUCGCAUGGCGGGCCCGGGAAAGAUAUUGCUUCGGUGGGGGAUGGGCUCGCGGCCUAUCAGCUUGUUGGUGGGGUGAUGGCCUACCAAGGCGGUGACGGGUAGCCGGCCUGAGAGGGUGGACGGUCACACUGGGACUGAGACACGGCCCAGACUCCUACGGGAGGCAGCAGUGGGGAAUAUUGCACAAUGGGCGCAAGCCUGAUGCAGCGACGCCGCGUGAGGGAUGGAGGCCUUCGGGUUGUAAACCUCUUUCGCCAGUGAAGCAGGCCUGCUCCUUGUGGGUGGGUUGACGGUAGCUGGAGAAGAAGCGCCGGCUAACUACGUG
rnacentral:rRNA from 1 species